CGCACCUUGCACCGUUUGGUAUUCCGAACGGUAUGCCUGUUUGAGUGUCUUUUCAAUCUCAAAUCCAAAGAUUUUUUAAUGAAGUCUUUUGGUAUUUGGUUUUGAGUGUUGCCGUUUCGCUUAUAGCGCUUUGGCUCACUUUAAAUUGAUUAGCAAGCAUGAUUCUGAUAGGUCUGCUAGCGCCUGAGCGUAAUAAACAUUUCGUUCAAGGCCAAGGCUUGUCAUUAAAGAAUCGAGAAGCUGCUUCGAAUUUGCUUUUUGUUUCAAGCAUUAUUUGUUUGAAGUAAAAAACAUUUUUGUUUUUAGACCUCAAAUCAGGUAGGACUACCCGCUGAACUUAA
rnacentral:misc_RNA from 1 species